rnacentral:rRNA from 1 species
UGGCUCAGGAUGAACGCUGGCGGCGUGCCUAAUACAUGCAAGUCGAGCGAACAGAUAAGGAGCUUGCUCCUUUGACGUUAGCGGCGGACGGGUGAGUAACACGUGGAUAACCUACCUAUAAGACUGGGAUAACUUCGGGAAACCGGAGCUAAUACCGGAUAACAUAUUGAACCGCAUGGUUCAAUAGUGAAAGGCGGCUUUGCUGUCACUUAUAGAUGGAUCCGCGCCGUAUUAGCUAGUUGGUAAGGUAACGGCUUACCAAGGCAACGAUACGUAGCCGACCUGAGAGGGUGAUCGGCCACACUGGAACUGAGACACGGUCCAGACUCCUACGGGAGGCAGCAGUAGGGAAUCUUCCGCAAUGGGCGAAAGCCUGACGGAGCAACGCCGCGUGAGUGAUGAAGGUCUUCGGAUCGUAAAACUCUGUUAUCAGGGAAGAACAAAUGUGUAAGUAACUGUGCACAUCUUGACGGUACCUGAUCAGAAAGCCACGGCUAACUACGUGCCAGCA